rnacentral:rRNA from 1 species
AUACGGAUGGUGCGAGCGUUAUUCGGAAUCACUGGGCAUAAAGGGCACGUAGGCGGCGCUGUAAGUCAGUAGUGAAAUCCCUCGGCUCAACCGAGGAACUGCCAUUGAAACUACAGUGCUAGAGUGCGGGAGGGGCAGACGGAAUUCCAGGUGGAGCGGUGAAAUGCGUAGAUAUCUGGAGGAACGCCAGGGGCGAAAGCGGUCUGCUGGCCCGCAACUGACGCUGAGGUGCGAAAGCUAGGGGAGCAAACAGGAUUAGAUACCCUAGUAGUCC